UAUAAGUACAACCGUAGUUUCUAUUCAUGAAGACCCGGGAAUUAAAAACAGUUUCACUCCAUAUCAUCAGAGCUGCCACAUUCUCACCCUCCCCUGAAGAGAUUCAAUGACAGGUCUGAGGGCAUUAGCUUGACUCUUGGAGCAGCUGGGGCCCCUGAGGCUCAGGCAUGAAGUCGGAGCAGGUGAGGGCAGCCUGUGGAGGCCUCCAGAGGUUCUCUGCAUUAACUGCGGCUUCUGCCCAGUUUAAACAGAAGAUUAUUGAACUGGAAGCAGCAGCCGAUUGCUGUUUGCAGUAUCUUUACAGCUCCAAGUGGCCCACAGACAAUUUGUGCAAGAUGGCUGCAGGACACCAUCCCUGGUGCUCCCCUCAGAGGCCCAGGGUAGGAGGAAGCAAGGCCAUCUCCUCCGGGGCUCUCUCCAAAGAGCCAGGAGGGUUUUCUUAGGAGCAGCCUGGUAAACCUCUCGUUUCUCAUUGGCUGGAAGCCACGUUUCCAUGGAGCGCUCAGGUGGCCCUGAACUCUAUUCCAACCGCCUGCUCAACAUUUCAUCUUGGAUUUUAAGAAGUAGCUCAAAGACAGCAGAUCCGAAGCUGGGCUCUCAAUGCUUCUCCCUGCGAGCACCAGAGUGAUACUGGCUGGAUACUGGAUACAGAUGAGAUCGUUCCUUUGCUCACACCCUCCGAGAGUAAAAGCUAAAGUCUGUACAUUGACCUACAAGAGCCCUCUAUUUUUCUGCCACUAUUCUCCCCCACCCUCAUUCACUUCAGCUCCCACUGCCACCUUAUUGUUCCUCAAAUACAGUUAGCCACAUUCUUACCCCAGGACUUUUCCACAAGCUGUUUCACCUACCUGUGACACUUUCUCCUCAGCUUCCUUUCUAAUUUCUUUAGUAAGUAAACCUCUUUGCUAAAACAUCACCUUCCCAGCUGCCCUAUUUAAAAUUUUAUCCCCUCCUCAACUCCUGUUCCCUUCUGUUUAAUUUUUCUCAUCACUUAUUUCUUCUUAACAUGCUAUAUAUUUUACUUAUUUAUCUUAUUUCUUGAGUGUCUCCCUCAAUAGAUGUAAAUUCCAUAAUGGUUGAGAUUACCAUUUUUGUUUUAUUCACUGCUAUAUGCUGACAAUUUUGACCCAUGAAUGAAUGUUGAAUGAAUGAACUUAUCAGAUUAAGUAAAUAUGAAUGCCUUGGUUUUAGGCAGAUGAGUUGAAUCAGGACAUCUGGGAGUGGAGGUGGAUAUAUGUAGUUUUACAAACCUCCUAGGUGAUUUGGUGCUCAGGUGGUUUGGGACCCAUGGGUCUGAGGUAUUCUCUGACCAUCAGUAUCUGUUUAUUUGACCCCAUUAGUCUGUGUGCCCAUUUCACAUCGAUCUUGAAGGUAACUACGGCACAGACUAUUUAUCUCCUUUAUUAUAUUGACCAUCGUGGGCAAAAUCCUGUGAUUUAACAAAGGAAGGGAGAAUUCUGACCAAAGCAACUUAAAGAAAGCAGGAAAUUUGCUUUUCUUUUCACAGGGAGCAGUUCUCGUCAUGUCUGUGGGUUAUCAAGCUGAAGGCAUUUUCAAUGACACAAUGGAAUUAGUUCUGUAAUUACUUUUGCCACACAAACCGACAACUUCCUGGGGCUAUGAGUUUUAAUAAUAUUUUUCAGAUCACAUUUGUUCCUGUGGUCGCCGGGGGAGGCCAAAACAUUGAUUUAUUUCAGCAGGCUUGAACAUUUGUGUUUGGCCACGGCUGUUGUGCAGUUCACACACACACGCUCACAGCCUUCACAUCCUAGAGAAGGAGGGAUAAUUUCAUGCUAGGUUGCAAGAAGAGAGUGUCAGGUGUGCCCCUCUCUGGUUAGUUCUGGAUCUGUUUUGCUGCAUCCUCUUUUUCCCGAUCCCUACAAAGUUAAACCUUUACCAUGUAAAAUAGUCUUGUCAUGAGGGCUCCCCUCCCCUGGGCUGGGUCUACACUUGGCUCCCAGCCCUGCCUCCUCUCUGAAGUCAUGUUUGUGAAAAGGCAGCACUGUAGGAUGAAGAGCCCGUGCACCGAAUUUCUCCCUUCUCAUCCCUUCCCUAGUCUUCUCUGACGCUCACAAGGCCCCAGCAGGAAAAAGGUAGUGAAUUUGCCUCCAUUUCUUCCUGUGAAGACUCUAGGUGGAUGCUGGGUCUGAGGGAGAAGCUUGCUGUCAUCCCACGCUUUCUCAUCAGCUACAGAGAAUGAGAGCAAAGGAAAAGACGCUCCCCCCGGAAGCGAUGUGCACCCACAGGCUCGCCUCCCCAAACCUUCCUUUUUUGGCCAUUGUUGGGUCAGCUCUUCACCCACAACCAGAAAACAGACAUGGCACUUUAUUUUGUUCUGCCAAGAGUGUGCCUUUUUAUGAUUUCAUUAUAUCUCGGGUAUGUUAGAAGAGGCUCCAUAAUCCUCACUCAUUUGAUGGAGAUGGGAGGAAGCCAGACUCCCCUCUCCUCUCUCUCCAAGUCUCCUUGCACUCCUUCCCCAUGAUGGAGUUUUCUCCCUCCCAGGCAUGUGAUGGGUACAGCUAGGAUAGCCUGUUGAUGGGCAGCCAGUUAAGUCAAGCCUCAGUGAUAUUUGGCUUAUGGGGUGGAAAGGAGGGCGCAAGAUUAUGGCAGGUUGUCCUAUGAGAAUGGCUCUCAUGCUGGGACUUUGUUCCUUCCACACGUCCAACCUUGGAUGUGGGAUUGGGGAAGGUGUGUGUGUGUGUAUGCGCAUGUGUGUAAGAGGAAAGUGCACAGAAAAUCUCAUGCCCCCUCUCCUAAUUCCCACACUCAGGUCAUGGCUUCAGCACUUCCUUCCCCAUACUCUUUCCAGAGAAUGACACAUCUGAGCUCUCCCCUUAGCAUCUAUCCAGGCUCACAGACAAGCCUACAUCACUUUCUCAGAAUUUUGUUUUGACAAGUUUUGAGGAACGAGGAGACUUAGCUUUUGCCUUCUUCUUCUCUUGGCUUCCUUGAUCGUGGCAACAUUUGCUUGAUUGGUUCAGAUUCCUCCAUUGUCUAAUGUGUGAACUGCUCUAACGGUUUUUCAAAAGAAUGGAAUGGAAGGACAGGAACCAGAACCGAUUCUCUUGGAUACCUGGGAAAUUCUAGAGGCUAAGGCAUUUUCUGGUUAUUGCUUUGUGCAAAAUAUAGAAGUUAAUCUGCUAGUUGAAGUUUUUGUUUUUUUAACAAGAUGUUGGUGAUGAUGAAUCGAUUUAUUAAUAUGAGGCUUUGAAAUUACAGUGCUUUUUACAGACCUCAUGCAUCUAUAUUGUCUCCCCAAAGGCAAAGAAACUGGCAAUUGACUGUACAUCUAUUCAAAUGAUACUAUUACAUUUCCAUUCCAAAAGUGUUCUUCUGGCAUUGCGCUGUUCAUCAUUUGACAGAUGUUCCUAGGGUAAAUCACUGUAAAAUGAAGAAAGGCUGAGGGCACAGAAACUGCCAAAUUGAUAAGAAUCCUGUGAUGUUGCUGCAUUCUGUUCAACUUAUGAUUCAGAAUUUGAACAAGAGCAUACGCGGGUUUAUUAAUCAUGGUGAAAGUGACAAAUUGCCAGACUUUAACAUUAGAAACCUUUGUUUUAGACGUUAUUUUAUGAUUUUGACAAGGCUGAGGAUUCAAAAACUGCUUUAUUCGAUUUCU
ensembl:lncRNA